rnacentral:misc_RNA from 1 species
AAGUCGUAACAAGGUUUCCGUAGGUGAACCUGCGGAAGGAUCAUUAACACGUUUUCCAACGUUUUAUUAACAACCCCGUGAACUGUACCCCCUCACCUCUUCAACUUAAUAUGGUGGAAUAAACUCAGCCUUAUGCCUAGGUGGACAAACAAUCGGAGACAACAAGUAUCAGUUUACUGAGAAAGUAUUAUCCUUGGGGCAGCUGACACUAAAAGCCGUUGAGCUUUUAUUAAGUUGAUGUAGGCUUUUUUCGAUCCACACAUAUUAACCCCUUUAACCGUUCAGUCUCGGCUGACGUACUAUUUGACUAAUGCUUAUCAUGUUUGACUGAUCGUGAUUGAUUUCACUUUCGGACCUUACAUUGAUAUGAGUUAUGUAACUAAGCACAACUCUUAGCAACGGAUAUCUUGGUUCUC